UACGGAGGGUGCAAGCGUUAUCCGGAUUCACUGGGUUUAAAGGGUGCGUAGGCGGGCAGGUAAGUCCGUGGUGAAAUCUCUGAGCUUAACUCAGAAACUGCCAUGGAUACUAUUUGUCUUGAAUAUUGUGGAGGUAAGCGGAAUAUGUCAUGUAGCGGUGAAAUGCUUAGAUAUGACAUAGAACACCAAUUGCGAAGGCAGCUUACUAGACAGUUAUUGACGCUGAGGCACGAAAGCGUGGGGAGCAAACAGG
rnacentral:rRNA from 1 species